rnacentral:tRNA from 1 species
GUCAGGAUGGCUGAGUGGUCUUAGGCGCCAGACUUAAGUUCUGGUCGUCAUGAGAGGGCGUGGGUUUAAAUCCCAAUUUUGCCA